GUUUUGCUUAUAAGCCAUAAAUAAUAAUAAUUUUUAUUACAUGCAAACGAGGAAAAAUAUGGAUUCAUUUCUUAAGUUUGUUUAUGUUUUCAUCAUCUUUCUUGCUAUACGUCUUCCUCCUGCUAAAGAAACCAUUCCAUGCAAAACUAAAGCUGAUUGUCCACAACAUAUAUAUUACAUCAUUGAGUGCCUUGAUGGUUUUUGUAACUAUUGGAGAGACUAAAAAAAACCAAAAUAAAAUAAUUAUGUUACCACUAAGCGUAUAGUUUUAUUUGUAUGUAAUAAUGUUUAUAAUAUUGUUUGUAAUUUUAUAAUUUACUUCAAAUGUGUAUUAUUAUUAUUAUUAUUAUUAUUAUUAUUAUUAUUAUUAUUAUA